UCCAGACUCCUACGGGAGGCAGCAGUAGGGAAUUUUGCGCAAUGGGGGAAACCCUGACGCAGCAACGCCGCGUGAUUGAUGAAGCCCUUCGGGGUGUAAAGAUCUGUCAGUGGGGACGAAACUUGACGGUACCCACAGAGGAAGCAUCGGCUAACUCCGUGCCAGCAGCCGCGGUAAUACGUAGGUGGCAAGCGUUGUCCGGAUUUACUGGGUGUAAAGGGCGUGUAGCCGGGUUGACAAGUCAGAUGUGAAAUCCUGCGGCUUAACCGCAGAACUGCAUUUGAAACUGUUGAUCUUGAGUACUGGAGAGGCAGACGGAAUUCCUAGUGUAGCGGUGAAAUGCGUAGAUAUUAGGAGGAACACCAGUGGCGAAGGCGGUCUGCUGGACAGCAACUGACGGUGAGGCGCGAAAGCGUGGGGAGCAAACAGGAUUAGAUACCCCUGUAUUA
rnacentral:rRNA from 1 species